CGUAACUGUUUUCUUUUGAGCUCGUCUACCUGUUCAGUUAAGAUACUAAACUAGGCCUAGGGGAGUUUAUUCGGUUAUUUUUUCAGGGAAAAAGAAAAAACAGAAUGAGCUUAUUCUCAGACCGUCUCUGUUCUCUGUCCAAACAUUCCAAUAUGCUAUGCUCUACUCAUUCCAACAUUCCCUCUUCCAUCAUCCUCCACCCCCUCAAAACUCCAAAACUCUCAACUUCCACCUUCAUUCCAGCAUUUCCCAAAACUCCUACUCUAACUUGCACUUCCCGACCCAAUCCGAAACCCAAACCCAAACCCAAACCCACAUCAAGCGGAAGACCCGCCAUGGAUGGCCAUGGACCAACCUCCAAAAACCGAAGAAAAUCAUCUUAUGGUACCUCCAGAAGGUCAAUUCUUAAGAAAACAUUCAGCCAAGAGCAGGUGACCUUCACCACCCCAAUACCUGAUGACCCAGUUGUUGGUAUAAUCGGUGGAGGUAUGGCGGGUUUGGUUUGUGCUUUGAAUCUGGAGAAACGUGGUGUUCGGUCCACGGUUUUUGACACGGGGGUUCAUGGACUCGGAGGAAGAAUGGGAACCAGAAUAAUUGAUCCUCAGCCUCUAAUAUUUGACCACGCUGCUCAGUUUUUUACUGUAAGUGACCUUCGGUUUGCUGAGAUGGUUAGAGGCUGGUUGGACAAAGGUCUGGUUCGAGAAUGGCAAGGUACGGUGGGAGAGCUUGAAGUGGGGGGUCAUUUUGUUGCACUUCCUCCUUCUCCUCCAAGAUAUGUUGCUCUCAGUGGGAUGCGUAUCCUUGCUGACUCAAUGCUGUCCCAGGCACGCAUGGUUAAUGUUGUGAGACCCUGCUGGAUAAGUAAACUUGAGCCGUUUAAUGGGAUGUGGUACUUGAGCGAGAAUGGAAAACCUCGUGGGCAAUUUGAUGCAAUUGUUAUAGCUCAUAAUGGAAAAUGUGCCAACCGAUUGCUUGCAUCAUCAGGAUUACCACUAAUUGCAAGACAGAUGAAGAGGUUGGAAUUAAGUUCUAUAUGGGCUCUCCUUGCAGCAUUUGAUGAUCCUCUUCCCGUGCCGGGCAAUGCGAAUACAUUUCCUUUUGAAGGAGCUUUUGUGAAAGGAGUGGAUUCAAUUUCAUGGAUGGCAAACAAUACCAAGAAACUCUUGGGUUCCUCUAAUGGUGGCCCCGAAUGUUGGACCAUCUUUAGCACUGCAGCUUUUGGAAAGCGGAACAAAGUUCCACAGGAAAACAUACCAAGUGCAACUGCAGAGAAGGUGAAGGCAGGCAUGCUUGAGGGUGUGGAAGCUGCACUUGGAUUAGCAAAAGGAUCCCUUCAGAAACCCUCCUAUACACGGGUUCAAUUAUGGGGUGCAGCUCUUCCAACUAACACACCUGAUAUCCCCUGCAUCUUUGAUCCUCAUGGUAGGGCUGGUAUAUGUGGUGAUUGGCUGCUAGGUUCAUGUUUGGAGUCAGCAGCCUUAAGUGGAAUGGCUCUUGCCAAUCAUAUUGCAGACUACUUCCAGAGUGGUGGAGUUGAAAGGGAUAAGUUUGCGGUUGGAUUACAAAAUGAGUUCCAACCCAUUAAGGGAGAAGACAUAGGACAAUUUCCGGGGUUGGAAUCAGAAAAGCAGAGAAAUGAAGCUCAUGAGAAAGAAUAUCAACUUAGCAGAUGAAAGAUGCAUUGCAGAGCAGAAAGAAGAUGUCUAAGAGGAUUUUGUUGCAGUGUUAGGGCGCCCGCACAGUGAAUACGGAUGAGAAAUUAAGGAGAUAACAGAGCUGUGCUGGUAGCAGUUUAUCAGUCAGAGAUGGUGGAUAGCUGAUGUUUAAGGAGUCUCCAACUGGAAAUUUAAGCUGGACUUUCUGCUUCAUCACCACCAUGUCACAGCAACUGAUGAAUGGAUUAAUAUAAAAGAUAGAUAUCUAUCUUAAUGUACAAGGAGUUGAAGAUUAAAUGUACAUCAUAGUUCAUUAAAAUUUGCCGUCUUUUUUAAUAAUAUUAUUAUUAUUUAUAUUAUGUAAGAGUAUGAAGGGCUGGGACUGGGAGACAUGUCCUAUUCGGCUGCAGCCCGAAUAUUUUUGUUCAUAUUUUAUAUUUUUCUUCGAUCUAUUUUAUUCUUUUUUCAAUAUUUGCUUCAUUUUUUUUUUUUUUUUUUUUGGGGUGCAGAUAUUAUAGUCUGCCACCAAAAACUUUCAAUUUAAAGGGUUAAAAUUACGCAAAAGGCCUCAUGAUUACCAAAUAAACCCCAAAUGUACCAAAAGCUUUUAUUAAAAAAAUAAAAAUAAAAAAUCAUCAUGCAUUGGUUUUGGAAGAAAGAGAUGCUCAAUCAAAGGCGUUCUCCCACCAUCCCUUUUUUAUUGUUUUUUGGGGGAAAAUUUGUUAAAAUUUUCAAAUAUUUUAAUCAAAGCAAGAAAUUAGGAGGAAGUUGCAGUUGCAGUUGCAAUCCCUGUGGAAGUCUACGCAAAACGCAUAUUGAUUUUGAACAGAUCUGGAUUGCGGUGGGGAAUAGUAAACAGAUACCACCAGCAUUCCCUCUUUUUUAUAUCUAAUUUUCUUGUCAACCAAACAAAGAAUAGAAUAAUCCACGUAACGUGAGGGACUGCAUCCACAAUUCCACUACCCUACGAUUUCGUUAAUCCUUCUCAGAGUCCAACCGCUCGUUUCCGUGACUUCGACGCAUUAAACACUCUUUUGAGAGACUGCGAUUCAAAAAACUCGACGUGGUCUUCCCCAACCUCGAAUCGAUUAAACAGCAAGCACAUGACGUGGUCUUCCCCAACCUCGAAUCGAUUAAACAGCAAGCACAUGACGACGUCGUAGCCUUAAUUCACAUACACACACACAUAUAUAUAUAUAUAUAUAUACACACACACACACAUUUUUAUUUUUCUUUCAAACUAAAUUUAAAUUAGAUUAUUAACAAUUGAAACCAAAAAACACAUCGUAUAAUUGCGAAAAGAAAAACCGUUAGAUUUUACUUAAUGGCUGAUUCAGAUAUCCGAUUACAGCUAUUUUGAUCAAAAAUUUAAAAAAAAAAAAAAAGAAACCAAAAAAAAAAAAGAAAAA